ACGCUGAGGCUCGAAAGCAUGGGUAGCGAACAGGAUUAGAUACCUGGUAGUCCAUGCCGUAAACGAUGAGUGCUAAGUCUGGAGGGUUUCCGCCCUUCAGUGCUGCAGCUAACGCAUUAAGCACUCCGCCUGGGGAGUACGACCGCAAGGUUGAAACUCAAAGGAAUUGACGGGGGCCCGCACAAGCGGUGGAGCAUGUGGUUUAAUUCGAAGCUACGCGAAGAACCUUACCAGGUCUUGACAUCUUCUGCCAAUCUUAGAGAUAAGACGUUCCCUUCGGGGACAGAAUGACAGGUGGUGCAUGGUUGUCGUCAGCUCGUGUCGUGAGAUGUUGGGUUAAGUCCCGCAACGAGCGCAACCCUUAUUAUCAGUUGCCAGCAUUCAGUUGGGCACUCUGGUGAGACUGCCGGUGACAAACCGGAGGAAGGUGGGGAUGACGUCAAAUCAUCAUGCCCCUUAUGACCUGGGCUACACACGUGCUACAAUGGACGGUACAACGAGUUGCGAAGUCGUGAGGCUAAGCUAAUCUCUUAAAGCCGUUCUCAGUUCGGAUUGUAGGCUGCAACUCGCCUACAUGAAGUUGGAAUCGCUAGUAAUCGCGGAUCAGCAUGCCGCGGUGAAUACGUUCCCGGGCCUUGUACACACCGCCCGUCACACCAUGAGAGUUUGUAACACCCAAAGCCGGUGAGAUAACCUUCGGGAGUCAGCCGUCUAAGGUGGGACAGAUGACUAGGGGAAGUCGUAGCAAUG
rnacentral:rRNA from 2 species